rnacentral:rRNA from 1 species
UACAGAGGGUGCGAGCGUUAAUCGGAAUUACUGGGCGUAAAGCGUGCGCAGGCGGUUUGGUAAGACAGAUGUGAAAUCCCCCGGGCUCAACCUGGGAAUUGCAUUUGUGACUGCCCGACUAGAGUGUGUCAGAGGGGGGGUAGAAUUCCACGUGUAGCAGUGAAAUGCGUAGAGAUGUGGGAGGAAUACCGAUGGCGAAGGCAGCCCCCCUGGGAUAACACUGACGCUCAUGCACGAAAGCGUGGGGAGCAAACAGG